AGGAAACAGAGCAGGAAAACAGGGGAUUGAUCUUCCAUCAUAAAGGAAACGAACCAAAAUGUUCGAUCCUUUAUAGGAAAAUGGUAUGAAUUUUGGCAAGGUGAGCAAGAUUCCUUGGUUUUGAGAGAGAGCCUAAUGGGAUUACAUUAUUUGUUAAUAUUCAUCAUAUAUUGAUUUUCAACCUCUAAUAAAAAGAUGCACUAUUCCAAAUACAAUCAAAUUAAAUGAAACAUUAAACAGAAUUGGAAAACAGGGGAUUGAUCUUCCAUCCAAAGGAAACAGUCCAUUGAUCUUAGAAACAAUAGAUAACAACAUAGCAAAGCAACAAAAUCUAAAGUUACUACUUAACAGCAUAGCAAAGAU
rnacentral:lncRNA from 1 species